rnacentral:rRNA from 1 species
UACGGGGGGGGCAAGCGUUGUUCGGAACUACUGGGCGUAAAGGGCUCGUAGGCGGCCAACUAAGUCCGACGUGAAAUCCCCAGGCUCAACCUGGGAACUGCGUCGGAUACUGGAUGGCUUGAAUUCGGGAGAGGGAUGCAGAAUUCCAGGUGUAGCGGUGAAAUGCGCAGAUAUCAGGAGGAACACCGGUGGCGAAGGCGGUUCUCUGGGCCUGUACUGACGCUGAGGAGCGAAAGCGUGGGGAGCAAACAGG